UACGUAGGGUGCAAGCGUUGUCCGGAAUUAUUGGGCGUAAAGAGCUCGUAGGCGGUUUGUCGCGUCGGAUGUGAAAUCCCAGGGCUUAACCCUGGGCCUGCAUUCGAUACGGGCAGGCUAGAGUUCGGUAGGGGAGACUGGAAUUCCUGGUGUAGCGGUGAAAUGCGCAGAUAUCAGGAGGAACACCGGUGGCGAAGGCGGUUCUCUGGGCAUUACCUGACGCUGAGGAGCGAAAGUGUGGGGAGCGAACAGG
rnacentral:rRNA from 1 species